AUGAUUCAGGCAUUGACAUUUCGAGUCAAUCAUCUCCACUAUCCUUCAUCUCCAUUAAGAUUUUGUUAUCUGGAUUCUUCGGUCUCAAGGGUUUUUAUUCUCAAGUGGUGUUUGAGAUUGAAAACUUUUUUGGUUGCGUGAUCGUUUAAUCCUUGAAGAACGAUAUAUCAUGGCUGUGUAUACUUGUAAAAAGUGUAAGACUGAUGCAUUUACUGUAUGGAAUGCUUGGGGACUGGCUUUAAUUCCGAUGGAACAUUGUGCUCAAGUUCGUGUCAAGCUCAAUUGAUAGAUGUGAAAGGAAGAGAAGAAAUACUGAUAAUUCAUAGCAAAAACAAGAAGCUCGACAAGAACGUGUCACUAAAUGUGAUCACGAUGCGAACUUCUAGGUUAAACUGUAUGAGCUGGCAAAUCUAAUGAACGAUACAACCAUCUUGAUGGCAGAAGAGGCAAGGGUAAGAUUAGUUUGAAAAAGAUUGA
rnacentral:lncRNA from 1 species